rnacentral:rRNA from 1 species
CCUACGGGAGGCAGCAGUAGGGAAUAUUGGGCAAUGGAGGCAACUCUGACCCAGCCAUGCCGCGUGCAGGAAGAAGGCGUUAUGCGUUGUAAACUGCUUUUAUAUAGGAAGAAAUAGACCUUGCGAGGUAAGUUGACGGUACUAUAUGAAUAAGCACCGGCUAACUCCGUGCCAGCAGCCGCGGUAAUACGGAGGGUGCAAGCGUUGUCCGGAUUUAUUGGGUUUAAAGGGUGCGUAGGCGGUUUAUUAAGUCAGUGGUGAAAGACGGUCGCUCAACGAUUGCAGUGCCAUUGAUACUGGUAGACUUGAGUGGGAUUGAGGUAGCUGGAAUGGAUAGUGUAGCGGUGAAAUGCAUAGAUAUUAUCCAGAACACCAAUUGCGUAGGCAAGUUACUAAGUCUCAACUGACGCUGAGGCACGAAAGUGUGGGUAUCAAACAGGAUUAGAUACCCUGGUAGUCCACACUGUAAACGAUGAUAACUAACUGUUGGCUUUCGAGUCAGUGGUACAGAGAAAUCGUUAAGUUAUCCACCUGGGGAGUAACGCCGGCAACGGUUGAAACUUAAAGGAAUUGACGGCUUGNGAGNGCGAGCGACGACGAGGAGAGG